GCUUGUCUCAAAGAUUAAGCCAUGCAUGUUCAAGUAUAGCAAGUGUACAGUGAAACUGCGAAUGGCUCAUUAAAUCAGUUAUCGUUUAUUUGAUAGUACCUUACUACAUGGAUAACCGUGGUAAUUCUAGAGCUAAUACAUGCUAAAAACCUCGACUUCGGAAGGGGUGUAUUUAUUAGAUAAAAAACCAAUGCCCUUCGGGGCUCCUUGGUGAAUCAUAAUAACUUAACGAAUCGCAUGGCCUUGCGCCGGCGAUGGUUCAUUCAAAUUUCUGCCCUAUCAACUUUCGAUGGUAGGAUAGUGGCCUACCAUGGUAUCAACGGGUAACGGGGAAUUAGGGUUCGACUCCGGAGAGGGAGCCUGAGAAACGGCUACCACAUCCAAGGAAGGCAGCAGG
rnacentral:rRNA from 1 species